rnacentral:rRNA from 1 species
UACGUAGGGGGCAAGCGUUAUCCGGAAUUACUGGGUGUAAAGGGUGCGUAGGUGGCGAUUUAAGUCAGAUGUGAAAACUCAGGGCUCAACCUUGAGACUGCAUCUGAAACUGAGUUGCUAGAGUGCAGGAGAGGAAAGCGGAAUUCCGAGUGUAGCGGUGAAAUGCGUAGAUAUUCGGAGGAACACCAGUAGCGAAGGCGGCUUUCGGGACUGUAACUGACACUGAGGCACGAAAGCGUGGGGAGCGAACAGG